UAAGCCUCCCUGCUCUGGGGUGGCUCUGACUGUGUCCAGGCUCUGGCUCGGGGGGUCUUGGGGGGCCUUGGGGCCCGGAUCCUGGAGCCGGAUGCUGGGAACCGGGCCUGCAACUCAUUUCCCCACUAAACACUCCGAGAACAUCUGCACGGUUUCCAAGGCUUCUCCCGCCCUAAUUGCCUGAUUACUGCGCGGAGCUCCCCUGGCAGGGCUCGGGGUGCUGGGACGAAGGUGAAAAGAUCGCUCUUAAUUAGAUUAAGAACAUUUCUUUCUCCCUCUGUAAUUUCGCCUUGAAAAUCAAGGCCACUUUUUUGUUUCCUUCGUCCAAAGGCGCAGCAACGCCCUCCCACCUCUCCUGGGGCUUCUUGGGAAUGUCCUGUGAGCUCAGCGCUUGGAGGAGCCGCUUAACCCAGAUUCCAUUGUGU
rfam:Myotis brandtii contig320084, whole genome shotgun sequence.